UUCUGAGAUGCACCUGUACGUCGUUUUGAGACAACUGACAAUCAUCCAAUUUUGUUCUUUCGGUAUGAGGACGUGUUGCUGCUUUCUUGCUGAGACUUAGAUGUUCAGUUUGAUACCACCAACUAACACCUCUAAAGCUCCAAAAAAACAACUUCCAACAACCUGUACGGCAUAAAUGUCAUCCAUGCUUGUCAACAUUUUUGUCCAUUUUCGUUCUUGUAGCUAGCUAGCUAUGCAGGAAGAUCUCAUCCUGAUUCUAAAUCUCACCUACAAAGCUCUGAUUGCUCAGUAAAUACAAGAAAUAGUCAUUAAUGAGCACACCUCCAGACAGAGGACAAAAGAAUGACGGAGCUGCUCAAAGCAGGGGGAAAAGUUGUGAAUGGUGGUGAAACAGAUACGGGAAGUAAGUGUGCUGUAACGCUGAAGCUGUCGUGCGUGUGUGGUAUGGACGGAGUGUUCCAGCUGGUUUCCGGUGGCGCUCCACACCUGAGGCUCGUCUCCAUAAGCAAUAAAAGACCCGGCUCCUGUGAUAUCAGCCCUGUCUAGGGAACUUGGAGCUCGGUUUCCCCCAGCCUGCCCGCUCUCCGCCUCUAACUCACGCCACCCACCUCUGCAAUUCCUGAACCUGUUAAUAAACUGUCAUCGUGGAAACUAACCUACCUUGAGUCAGCUUUUGGGUCCUCGCAACUGCACCUAACAGAAACCGUA